rnacentral:rRNA from 1 species
GUGACCUCAAAUCAGGUAGGACUACCCGCUGAACUUAAGCAUAUCAAUAAGCGGAGGAAAAGAAACUAACAAGGAUUCCCCUAGUAACUGCGAGUGAAGCGGGAAAAGCUCAAAUUUAAAAUCUGGCGGUCUUUGGCUGUCCGAGUUGUAAUCUAGAGAAGUGUUAUCCGCGCUGGACCGUGUACAAGUCUCCUGGAAUGGAGCAUCAUAGAGGGUGAGAAUCCCGUCUUUGACAUGGACUGCCAGGGCUUUGUGAUGCGCUCUCAAAGAGUCGAGUUGUUUGGGAAUGCAGCUCAAAAUGGGUGGUAAAUUCCAUCUAAAGCUAAAUAUUGGCGAGAGACCGAUAGCGAACAAGUACCGUGAGGGAAAGAUGAAAAGAACUUUGGAAAGAGAGUUAAACAGUACGUGAAAUUGCUGAAAGGGAAACGCUUGAAGUCAGUCGCGUCGUCCAGGGAUCAACCUUGCUUUUGCUUGGUGCACUUUCUGGUUCGAUGGGUCAGCAUCAAUUUUGACUGUUGGAAAAAGGUCAAGGGAAUGUGGCAUCUUUGGAUGUGUUUAUAGCCCUUGGUCACAUACAAUGGUUGGGAUUGAGGAACUCAGCACGCCGCAAGGCCGGGUUUUAAACCACGUACGUGCUUAGGAUGCUGGCAAUAUGGCUUUAAUCGACCCGUC